CAAGGAGUUAUGGUUUGCUGUCCGGAGUUCCUGCACCGUCAACAGAGGAACUUCUACAACACCUACGGACUUGCGGUGAUGGUAAAACUUUGCCACAGACAUAGGUGUUGGGGGAGGCAAGAGAAAACCCAAAACCUUCUUUAUUUUUGUUUCCUGUGUAUUUUUUUUUUUUGAAAAUAAAGAUAUAUUUUGGGGAAAUAAGGACUAAUAAUUUAAAAAUUUAUGUAAAAUGUUGGAGGUAGACAUAAUUUUUUGUUGUUGUGCAGGAGUUUUAAAAUUUAUGGUAUUUUUACAAAUGCAACACAGAGUUGUGCUUUAGAACACUUUAUUAGAGCAUCAAACAAAAAUAUAUAAAAACAAACUUAUAUAAAAUAUCAAAUAUAUACAUUUAUUUACAAUCGUCUUGGAAUAAAACCAGUGUAGUUACCAUUGGGGUCAGGGAAUUUUGCAGAAUAAACUCCUCCAUGUGUGGUACAGUUGAAAUACAUGUCUGGGGAGGCUGUUGGCAGCAUUUCUUUUCCAAAUCAGUUGGUAUAUCUCUGCAGUGGGAGCAUACACACCAUGAAGGUUGAUUGGGUGUUGGAGGUGUUGUGGCAGGUGGACCAGAGAGGGCAAGUACAUCAAAGAGAACACCAGUGUCUGUCCAGCACCAUGGUAAGGAUGUCAAUAGCCUGCUGAGGGUUCAGGUUCUGUAUGUGUUGCUACAAAAGUGGAAAGAGAUGCUACAGCAACAGUUUUUAGGAUAAUUUAGUGUAAUUUUGUUAUGCUUACACGUUCAAAGUAUUCGCUCGGAACAAAGAUUCCGAACUCGAGAGAGAUCUUCAUCUCCAAGGUCCACAGCUGAGUGUCUCACACUUCUUCGGCCUCUGGAUGCACCGCGGCCUCUGGAUGCACCACGGCUUUGAGAUGAUGGUGGGCAUCUCCUUUUUGCACCACGUCUUGAGGAUGCAAUAGGAGGUUCAAACUCUUCCUCAGAGGAUUCCUCAAUCACUGAACUCUAAAUU